AGGACCGUAGCUCAGCUGGUUAGAGCGCUGCCUUGACAUGGCAGAGGUCGCUGGUUCGAUUCCAGUCGGUCCUACCA
rnacentral:tRNA from 10 species